rnacentral:rRNA from 1 species
UACGAAGGGGGCUAGCGUUGCUCGGAAUCACUGGCCGUAAAGGGUGCGUAGGCGGAUUGUUAAGUCAGAGGUGAAAUGCCAAGGCUCAACCUUGGAACUGCCUUUGAUACUGGCAAUCUCGAGUCCGGGAGAGGUGAGUGGAACUGCGAGUGUAGAGGUGAAAUUCGUAGAUAUUCGCAAGAACACCGGUGGCGAAGGCGGCUAUCUGGACGACAACUGACGCUGAGGCGCGAAAGCGUGGGGAUCAAACAGG